AGAAAUGAAUUUAAUUCAUGCAUUUUAUCUAAUUUCUGUUGUUUUGUUACUCUUUUUUAUUUGAUGCUAAGAUUGAGGGGGAUUAGCUCCUUAUUUUAUUUUUAUAAUUGACUUAUUUAAUUUAGUUUUGUGGAUUUUAUAGUGAUUUUCAAUCUGAUUAUGUUAAAAUUUUAUUUUUUCUUUUAUUUAUUUCUUUGUAGUUUAAAUUUUAUAUUGGAAUGUUUUCUUUGUCUUUGGUUUGUAUAGCAAUUAUUGUGUAAUUAGUAAAUCUCUUUAUUCUUAAGUGUUAUAAGUUAUUUUGGUGUUAAUUUCUUUUUAGGAAUUAGGCAAAGUUUCGUGUCCGCCUGUUUAACAAAAACAUCUUUUCUUGUUAGUUUUUGAAGUAUGGCCUGCCCACUGACGGUAAGUUGAAGGGCCGCGGUAUUUUGACCGUGCAAAGGUAGCAUAAUCAUUAGUUCUUUAAUUGUGAUCUGGUAUGAAUGGCUUGACGAGAUGCGAGCUGUCUUAAUAGAAUUAUUUAUUGAAUUUGGUCUUUGAGUUAAAAUACUUAGAUGUUUUUAUGGGACGAGAAGACCCUAUAGAGUUUGACAAUCUGCUUAUUAAUAUAUUAUCUUAGUUUGUUAUUGUUUAUUUAGUGGGUAGUAUUGUUUUGUUGGGGUGAUGGGAGGAAUAUUUGUUAACUCCUCUUUGUUAUGUUAUAUUUGUUUAUAUUUAUUUUGAUCC
rnacentral:rRNA from 1 species